rnacentral:rRNA from 1 species
CGCUGGCGGCAGGCCUAACACAUGCAAGUCGAGCGCGCCCUUCGGGGUGAGCGGCGGACGGGUGAGUAACGCGUGGGAACGUGCCCUUUGCUACGGAAUAGUCUCGGGAAACUGGGGGUAAUACCGUAUGAGCCCUUCGGGGGAAAGAUUUAUCGGCAAAGGAUCGGCCCGCGUUGGAUUAGGUAGUUGGUGGGGUAAUGGCUCACCAAGCCGACGAUCCAUAGCUGGUUUGAGAGGAUGAUCAGCCACACUGGGACUGAGACACGGCCCAGACUCCUACGGGAGGCAGCAGUGGGGAAUCUUAGACAAUGGGCGCAAGCCUGAUCUAGCCAUGCCGCGUGAGCGAUGAAGGCCUUAGGGUUGUAAAGCUCUUUCGUGGGGGAAGAUAAUGACUGUACCCCAAGAAGAAGCCCCGGCUAACUCCGUG